UACGAAGGGGGCUAGCGUUGCUCGGAAUCACUGGGCGUAAAGGGCGCGUAGGCGGACGUUUAAGUCAGGGGUGAAAUCCCGGGGCUCAACCUCGGAAUUGCCUUUGAUACUGGAUGUCUCGAGACCGGAAGAGGUAAGUGGAACUGCGAGUGUAGAGGUGAAAUUCGUAGAUAUUCGCAAGAACACCAGUGGCGAAGGCGGCUUACUGGUCCGGUUCUGACGCUGAGGCGCGAAAGCGUGGGGAGCAAACAGG
rnacentral:rRNA from 1 species